UGUUCACUACUCACUGGAGACAGAGAAAAAUCUCUCCUACUUAAGUAAUAACCUUGUGUAGGCAGAAAAACUUUAAUUGUAGAAGUAUUAUGUAAAUGCAAGUUAUUUAAUUAAAAAGGAGGUGGGGGGGCCUUCACAGGAAGUAACUGUUUUUUUUUUUUCUUUUUAAGAUAAAAGAUGAGAGAUAGUGUUUCUCUUUACUGCAGGUUGUAAGUAGAUCACUGAUGGGCCUUGAGAUGACACGGCCAUCACAGAGAGAUAGCAGCCGCCUCCUGCUUUGAGGAAAGAUGAAGUAACAGAGAUGAACCCUCCUCCUUCCAAGCAACCUAAAUAUAAACCCCGUUUCCACUAUACUUAAUGAAUGUAAAGACGACGGUUCCUCUGAACUAUGCUCUAAGUGUUGAGGGGAGAGCGGAGUGAAGACGAUUUCAAAGAACAGACAAGAUAUCACUUUCCCCCCUGAAGCCACUUUAAGCAAAAGAGCCCAACUAGAAAGAGCUAUAAUUGUUCAUGUGAAAGUCAAGAGUCAUUGUGUAAGUAUUUCAUUGUGGCAAAAAAAAAAAAAAAAAAAAAAAGGGAAAUGACACAUUCAAAGGAGAGCCAAGAGCACCAAGGACGUCUUGCUUUCAGGAAGAUAUUGGAUUUUCCCUUGAAGUGAACACUGGGUUUAGUUUCAAGUGUUCUAGACAUACAUCUGCAGAGGAAGCCGUCCCAUGACCGUGCUCUUUGGAGGCCAUCUUAGUCCUCCUGUCCUUACUGCUAACCACCCAUCUGAGAGGGAACAUCUCACAGCCCGAGUUCCACCUCCCAAGGUCAGCGGCCCUGGCAUCUGAGGCACAUACGUCCAAGCCAGUCAAGCACGGAUCUGGCAAAUCAUGGACAGAGCUAAAGUGACACACCCCUGCCAAUGGCUAUCUUCAUCAGCAAUGCUCUGAACCGGUCUGAACCAGUUUGAACAGGUGCUCAGAGAUGGGAGGCUUGCUGUCUGCCCCUCUCCUGUUAGAAGAAGGAAAUGCAUAAGAGCUGACUCUGACGGUGUUAGAUGCUCUGAGUUUUAAUACCUUUUUGGGUGAACCAACGAGGGGGUCACAGAUUUGUGAGGGUCUGCCCUGUGUGUGGAAAUCAAGAAAGGAGGAAGAACUGGAGGUACCUCACGCAGCCUCUCAGAGAGGAAAUAGCAUUGGUGCACCGCAUAAUAAGAAACUAAAAUAAUUUUUAGAGUGAAUUUGUCUACUUACUAAUUUUCUAUCUAGAAAUAUUUGUAUUUGGUAAAAAUAUUCCUUAAACGAGGUAUGAUAGUUAUUUUUUGUUUAAACUUAAAAACACUUAAAGACUUUUAUUUAAUUUUAUUUUAUGUGUAUGAUUAUUUUUCCCUGCAUGUAUUUGUAGGCGCUGUGUGCAUUCCUGGAGUCCCCAGAGGGUCUGAAGAAGGCAACGAGACUCCUGAAACUGGAGUUAGGGUUGAGAGCUCCUAGGCAAGUGGAACCCACACCAAGGCCUGCUGCGAGAGGAGCAACUGCUCUUCAGUUUAAGGACAGCCGUCUCUCCAGCCUGUCCUGACUAGUUUUUAUCUGCCUGUCUGUUCCUUACAUUACCCAAGCUCUUCCUCCA